UACGUAGGUGGCAAGCGUUGUCCGGAUUUACUGGGCGUAAAGAGCGCGUAGGCGGCCUGCUAAGUCGAACGUGAAAUCCCUGGGCUCAACCCAGGAACUGCGUCCGAUACUGGUUGGCUUGAAUCCGGGAGAGGGAUGUGGAAUUCCAGGUGUAGCGGUGAAAUGCGUAGAUAUCUGGAGGAACACCGGUGGCGAAGGCGACAUCCUGGACCGGUAUUGACGCUGAGGCGCGAAAGCCAGGGGAGCAAACGGG
rnacentral:rRNA from 1 species